ensembl:lncRNA PATL2 PAT1 homolog 2
CCAGAGAAUGGAGAAACCCUGCAGGGAAUUCCCAAGCUGUAGUUAUAAACAGAAGUUCUCCUUCUGCUAGGUAGCAUUCAAAGAUCUUAAUCUUCUGGGUUUCCGUUUUCUCGAAUGAAAAAUGCAGGUCCGAGCAGUUAACUGGCGGGGGCACCAUUAGCAAGUCACUUAGCAUCUCUGGGGCCAGUCUGCAAAGCGAGGGGGCAGCCUUAAUGUGCCUCCAGCCUGAAGUCCUAGAAUGAGCGCCCGGUGUCCCAAGCUGGGGCGCGCACCCCAGAUCGGAGGGCGCCGAUGUAC